GCGGGAGUAGCACAAUGGUAGUGCAUCGGUCUUCCAAGCCGAGGAUGCGGGUUCGAUUCCCGUCUCCCGCUCAA
rnacentral:tRNA from 1 species